AUUUCAAAAGGUAGCCUAUCAAA
rnacentral:piRNA from 1 species